UUGAUAUGACCAGUUAUUUAAAUGGAUGUUGAGAAUCAAAUCUGUAUUUAUUUAAUGCUUCCCAUAUAAAGUCCCAAAGUGAUUUAGCAACAUCCAUAUAUAUGUGUGUGUGUGUGUGUGUGUGUGUGUGUACAUGUCAAG